AGCGAACGCUAGCGGCAGGCUUAACACAUGCAAGUCGAGCGCCAGGUUUCGGCCUGGAGCGGCGAACGGGUGAGUAACACGUAGGUCACGUACCCUAUGGUGGGGAAUACCCCGGGGAAACUCGGAUCAAUGCCCCAUAUGUCCGAAAGGAUAAAAGCGCUUCGGCGCGCCAGAGGAUCGGCCUGCGGCCCAUUAUUUAAUCCUAGUUGGUGAGGUAACGGCUCACCAAGGGUACGAUGGGUAGCUGGUCUGAGAGGACGAUCAGCCACACUGGAACUGAGACACGGUCCAGACUCCUACGGGAGGCAGCAGUGGGGAAUAUUGGACAAUGGGCGAAAGCCUGAUCCAGCCAUGCCGCGUGAGUGAUGAAGGCCUUCGGGUUGUAAAGCUCUGUCGUGGGGGAAGAAGUUCUGACGGUACCCCACAAGAAAGCACCGGCUAACUCCGUGCCAGCCGCCGCGGUAACAC
rnacentral:rRNA from 1 species